ensembl:lncRNA
AUUCAGGUACUGAACACAGGCAAAKGAGGCAAGGGGAGAACUUGCUGAUGGUCAAACUGGAUCUUAAAGAAAAUGUGUUGCAAUGGUUGGAGAUGAGCUGUGCUCUUGGGACUCCUGUCCUGUGCUGAGCUUUUAGGAUGUGUCCUUCCUUCCUCCAGCUUCUAGAUCAUCCUGUAGCUCUCACAACWGGAAUCCUCAUCUUCUGUCAUGUUCCACAGCCUGUUUCCAGGCCCUGCCUGUGCAUUUGCUUUAUCAGCAUUUUGGGAGGGAACCCCUCUCAGAAGGCUGCUUUCCACUUGGUUGCGAUUUUCAUCUCCUGCAAAGUUGCUAUUCCUCCUUUAUGACCUGCCAUCUGUUUCUUGAGCGCCUGCCUCGGCAGGCACGUCAGCAACUGUACUGUCAAACAGAGGAAUAAAGUGUUCAGGUCUGCCCUCUGAACUGGAAGAAACGGAGGACUGCACAGCAGAUGUGGUGUGCUGAGAACUUAAUCUGAUGAGUWCAAGUCCAAACUCUCCGGCACUGCAGGACAGAAAGCAUUCUUGUGCCUGUGUUUCAAAGAGGCCCGAAGACUGCAAGCCAGAGCCACCAAAAUGCAACAUAAGGCAAGCGAAGAUCAAGGCAAGCAACCCCGUGACACCAGCAUUGGAUGUCUGGGGAGUGGGCUGCUCUCAGCAACAUGAAUUUCACUUCCCUCCAUGUUUUCUGGAGAGUGAACUCAGCAGUGAUCCAGGGGGUGAGAGUUUGCUCUGAAAAGAAGAAAAAAAAAAAAGAAAAAAGGGAUCAUGUUGCCACACUCGGAGUUCAUGAAUGGCCGUUAGCUCUCCAAUGAUCUUACAACAAAGAACCACUUCAAGCCUGCAGAAGUCUGCUGUUUUCCAAGUGUUAGGAGCUGACAGUGCUUGAAUUUGCAGAAAUAGCUAGAAUUUGAAAAGAUCUUGGCUGUUUGUUAAUGAAACUCUUCUGGGCAAGAAGCUGAGUCUGAAUUCAUGUGGGGAGAUGGGAGGAUCUGAACCCUUUGCUGCAAGGGCAAGGAAAGGUGCUCUCAACUAGCUGUUUCUGUGUUAGAGAAAAGCUUUGUUUCUGCUCUUUGCUCUCUAUGCGUAAUUGGGCUAGGUGGAUGGUAUACAACAAAUACCUCUGUCCUAUGUAUUUUCAGAAGGGAUCAGUGUUUUGGAGGGCUUUAUUGGCUCAACAUUUUGGGAGUUACCAUGUUCUAAUGGCCUGCAGUGAAGCCAGAUAAUUUCUUUAUCACUUCAUCAAAUAGUGUGUGUGUGUAUAUACAUAUAUAUAUAUAUAUAUGUGUGUGUGUGUCUUCGGGCUGUCCUCCAGGAUGGUUUUGCAGCUUUUAUUUUUAUAAUGGAAAAUUGGCUUUAUGUUCAGGUGCUGAGCCAGUUUGGGGAAAAAUAAUGGAAAGGGUCAGUUUUCCUGUUCUGGGAGAGUGUUGCAUUCCAGUGCCCGUUCAGAAUGAAAAACUGAAACUGCAAAGGCUGUUGAAAGGCGAAAAUACUUUUGAUUAUGCCCAUUGAAAUGCUUCAGGUUCACUCAGCAUUUGUUUAAAAAGAAAAAGCUUUUCCUACUGUGUUCUGUUAUUUUAACAUUUGUUACUAGAAGGUCUAGAAGGUGCUUUUUUUGUUUUUUGGUUUUUUUUCCCAGAAGCUUCUCUCUUACAGACAUCCCCUCAUGGACCACAGGUAUGGGAYUGGCUGUAGGGGAAUUAACCCUACUGAGAUGCAUCCUAUGGACCUGGCAG